CUUGGUCAUUUAGAGGAAGUAAAAGUCGUAACAAGGUUUCCGUAGGUGAACCUGCGGAAGGAUCAUUACAAGUGAGGCUACCGAACGUUGGAAACAGCGGUUAGGAGCUUACACCCACCCGUGUCUACAUACUAUUGUUGCUUUGGCGGGCCGUGGCCUCCACUGCGGGCUCUGCUCGUGUGUGCCCGCCAGAGAACCAAAACUCUGAAUGUUAGUGAUGUCUGAGUACUAUCUAAUAGUUAAAACUUUCAACAACGGAUCUCUUGGUUCUGGCAUCGAUGAAGAACGCAGCGAAAUGCGAUAAGUAAUGUGAAUUGCAGAAUUCAGUGAAUCAUCGAAUCUUUGAACGCACAUUGCGCCCUGUGGUAUUCCGCAGGGCAUGCCUGUUCGAGCGUCAUUUAACCACUCACGCCUAGCGUGGUAUUGGGGCACGCGGUCUCCGCGGCCCUCAAAAUUAGUGGCGGCGCCGGUGGGCUCUAAGCGUAGUGAGCCCUUAGUCUCCCCCGGGCUGCAGUCCCCCAUCCUUUGCUACUCGGUCAGGAGGUGUUACGCACGCGGAAAAA
rnacentral:misc_RNA from 1 species